ACUGCCCCUAGAAGCACUUCAGGUGUGGCUGCUGUGUCACAUGUGCACAGAGAGGAGGCGCCAGAGAGGAGAGGGGCUAUGUCUAUGCUCAGCGUUCUGACCUAUGAACUUCUGAAUGAUUUAGUAGCCUGACAUU